rnacentral:rRNA from 1 species
AUGGUUCGUGCCUGCGUACCCCCUGUGGCCGGCACUGCCUCGUUUGGUUCAAACGGUUUGUACGGUCUCGCCGGAGGCGGCGGCCGUGAGGCUCUUGUGCACGCUCUCGCCGUCGUCGCCGGCGCUGGGGAGGGUAGUGCCAUCGUCCUGACCGUCGGCGGCUUUCUUCUUGCUCUUGGUGUACUCGCCGUAGAGGUACGAGGAGAGGCCCCAGACGCAGAGCGCGGUGGCGACGGCCUUCUCGGGGCCGAACGGGUCGCCGAACACCAGGACGCCGCCGAUCACGUUGGCCGUGAGCACCGCCGCCAUGCACACGCCGCUGUGCAGCGACGACGUCAGGUAGAUCACGCCGGCGGUGCCCAUGAAGCACGCCUGCCACGUCACCACCAGCGUCGCCACCACGACCCAGUACACGGCGUGCGACCCCUUCCAGUGGGCCACGUCGUCGCUGAAGCCGCGCGAAACCGCCAGUCCCACCGCUGCCUCCACGGAAGCCAUAGCCUGCAUCACCGCCUGCACCUCCACCGCGAGGAUGAACCCGCCGGAGACCGCCUCCCGGUACACAAGCUCCAUCACGGGGAGGUACGCCGAGAAGAGCCCCGCCGCGCAAAGCGUGACGAUGUAGCCGAUGAUGUACCCCCUCCGGUUCGGGCUCUCGCCGGCGUCCCCAGACCGGAGCGCGAGGAGCACGGAGCAGAGCGUCAUGAGCACGACGGCGUUGAGGUUGUUGAAGGUAAGCGGGUGGCGGACGAUGACGACGGCGAGGACGAGCGUGAAGGCGAGCUGCAUGGACAGCAGCAGCGACGAAGUGGACACCGGCAGGAGCGACGUGCUGUAGGCGAAGAGCAGAUUGCUGACGCCCAUGAGCGCGCCGAUGGCCAGGCACACGGCCAGGAACCGGCGCGAGAACCACAGGAACGGGCGCGGCGCGGAGGCGGGGCGGGGGCGGCCGGCGAGGAACGCGGCGACCACCAGAGUCGGGAACCCCGCGGACUGCACCAGCGUGACCACCCACUUGUUCUUGCCGCCGUGGUGGAAGUAGAACCGGGACAGCAGGCUCGACGCCACCGACCCGACCAGCAGCGCCGCGUAGUUGGCCAUCAGGAGCACCGUCGACCUGCGGCGGCGCGGCGCCACCGCGGCCGGGCCCGCCGCGCCGGAGGAGAUAGCCAUUGCCGCGCGCGCCAUCGUGGUCGUUGA